GAGGAAUAUUUACAAUCAGUGAGUGGCAAAGAACUCAAAGUCAUGGUGUUCAACUCUAAGCUGCAUCAACCAGGAUUGUGCAGCAUUGUAAAGGUUGUCCAUCAUCUCGGUAUCUGAAGUGUCCGGGUUUCUCCAUAUGCGCCCCUGCAUUUUGUAGGUGGAUAGACCAAAUGGUGAAAGAGUAACAGAGUUGCUCCCUUUCUUUUGCUCCCAUUUAUUUGUUUUAGCUACCAUGGGACAGUAGUCUUUUGCACUGUCCCCAGGUACAACAUUAUCUGCAAGAGUGCCACAUAACAAGAAAAGCUAGUAAGACGAGCGACACUAUUGGAAUUGCUCGAUUAGGUUGACAAAUGCAAAAAAGUGACAUGUAUGAUACUCAAAUUAACAAAAACCCUAUGCAAAUUAAAGGACAUCAAGCAUGUUUGGGAUUAUAAUCUAUCUUUAAAGUCAAAAUUCAUGUCUUCUAACAGAACAUCCAAUCAUAGAUGAUCCCACUUCUAGAAUGUAUAAGCAUCAAAUAAAUAGAUACAGUUAGUAAAAUAAAAGUUGUUAGCUAUAAAAAAAAUAAUCUAAGUUCUCUUAAUUUAACUAAGAAUGUGAUUUUUUUUUUAAUUAGCUCAAUGGCAGCUAAAGAUCCCUAUUGCUGAAGCCCAAAUAGUUGAGACAUUACGACAUUGUUGUAAAAUUUAUUAGCUAUCUUGUGUCAUAGAAUCUAUGAAGGCAGCUAGUAUAUAAAAAAGAACACUAGCUUAUGACGAUGAUUUAAUUUAAAGUUUUAUGAGAAACAUGUUGUUACACUAGAUUCACAGAAAAGCAAUCAGAAGGUGUAAGCAUGUUGCACUAUAUAAUAGAAGAAGAGAAGAAAAUUAUUCCCAAAACAAUGAACGUGUACCACAAGUGAAUAACUGUUUUGGACAAUCCAGUCCGAUUCGAUUAACAGAAAGGAUGUUUAUUUUAAAAGACCCGAUUCUUCAGGUCUCGUGAUUCAUCUUCUUGACAUGGAGCACCGUCUUCCGAUCACCACUGCCCAUCCACCUGCCUCUCCUCUUAUACGUGUAAUACUUACUAUGUGUUAUUUUAUCAUGAUAUAUUUGCAGAUAAGCCAGCAUAAUAGUGUAUUUUUUUAUUUAAAUGAUACCAAUCAAAAUGCCAGGAAAGGUUUCUUGUUCACAAGGUGUUAUCUUCCAAACGACUGACAACAACAAUUAAAAACAAUAAAUUUACAUAAGAAGUGCAUGAAGUGCUUUGACCAU
rnacentral:lncRNA from 1 species